rnacentral:rRNA from 1 species
UACAGAGGUCCCAAGCGUUGUUCGGAUUCACUGGGCGUAAAGGGUGCGUAGGCGGUCGGGUAAGUCUGAUGUGAAAUCUCCGGGCUCAACCCGGAAAUGGCAUUGGAUACUAUUCGGCUCGAGGUCUGGAGGGGGGACUGGAAUACUUGGUGUAGCAGUGAAAUGCGCAGAUAUCGGGAGGAACACCCGUAGCGAAGGCGGCACUCUGGGCCGGAACUGACGCUGAGGAGCGAAAGCGUGGGGAGCAAACAGG